rnacentral:lncRNA from 1 species
ACCCUUAUUUUUGCAGAUGGAGUGUUAAACGUUACGUGGGACCGGAGCGACGGUCUGCCAGUUCAUUUACAAACGUGACUCACGGCGCUGGAGCAUUUUACUUAAUAUUUUUCCCGCAUUCAACUAAAGCCAAUCAUGUGAUGAGAGUCUCAUUGCAAGUAGCUUAAAUAGUAGAACAAUGAGAAAUGAGGUACGGCGGGAGAUCUGUUCAUAUGGGCAUGAGUCGAGGCGCCGGG